rnacentral:rRNA from 1 species
CCUACGGGAGGCAGCAGUGGGGAAUAUUGCACAAUGGGGGAAACCCUGAUGCAGCGACGCCGCGUGAGUGAAGAAGUAAUUCGUUACGUAAAGCUCUAUCAGCAGGGAAGAAACACUGACCUUACGGUCAGCAGACGGUACCUGAGUAAGAAGCGCCGGCUACGUACGUGCGAGCAGCCGCGGUAAUACGUAGGGGGCAAGCGUUAUCCGGAUUUACUGGGUGUAAAGGGAGCGUAGCCGGUGGUCCAAGGCUGGAGUGAAAUGCCGCAGCUUAACUGCGGAACUGCUUUGGAAACUGGCGAACUAGAGUGCGGGAGAGGUAAGCGGAAUUCCUAGUGUAGCGGUGAAAUGCGUAGAUAUUAGGAGGAACACCGGUGGCGAAGGCGGCUUACUGGACCGUAACUGACGUUGAGGCUCGAAAGCGUGGGGAGCAAACAGGAUUAGAUACCCCGGUAGUC